rnacentral:rRNA from 1 species
AACGAACGCUGGCGGCAUGCCUAACACAUGCAAGUCGAACGAGACCUUCGGUCGUAGUGGCGCACGGGUGCGUAACGCGUGGGAAUCUGCCCUUAGGUUCGGAAUAACUCAGGGAAACUUGAGCUAAUACCGGAUAAUGACGUAAGUCCAAAGACUUAUCGCCUAGGGAUGAGCCCGCGUAGGAUUAGCUAGUUGGUGGGGUAAAGCCUACCAAGGCGACGAUCCUUAGCUGGUCUGAGAGGAGUGAUCAGCCACACUGGGACUGAGACACGGCCC